rnacentral:rRNA from 8 species
UUAAGCGACUAAGCGUACACGGUGGAUGCCCUGGCAGUCAGAGGCGAUGAAGGACGUGCUAAUCUGCGAAAAGCGUCGGUAAGGUGAUAUGAACCGUUAUAACCGGCGAUGUCCGAAUGGGGAAACCCAGUGCAAUUCGUUGCACUAUCGUUAACUGAAUACAUAGGUUAACGAGGCGAACCGGGGGAACUGAAACAUCUAAGUACCCCGAGGAAAAGAAAUCAACCGAGAUUCCCCCAGUAGCGGCGAGCGAACGGGGAGCAGCCCAGAGUCUGAAUCAGCUUGUGUGUUAGUGGAACGGUCUGGAAAGUCCGACGGUACAGGGUGAUAGUCCCGUACACCAAAAUGCACAGGCUGUGAACUCGAAGAGUAGGGCGGGACACGUGGUAUCCUGUCUGAAUAUGGGGGGACCAUCCUCCAAGGCUAAAUACUCCUGACUGACCGAUAGUGAACCAGUACCGUGAGGGAAAGGCGAAAAGAACCCCGGCGAGGGGAGUGAAAAAGAACCUGAAACCGUGUACGUACAAGCAGUGGGAGCACCUUCGGGUGUGACUGCGUACCUUUUGUAUAAUGGGUCAGCGACUUAUAUUCUGUAGCAAGGUUAACCGUAUAGGGGAGCCGCAGGGAAACCGAGUCUUAACUGGGCGUUAAGUUGCAGGGUAUAGACCCGAAACCCGGUGAUCUAGCCAUGGGCAGGUUGAAGGUUGGGUAACACUAACUGGAGGACCGAACCGACUAAUGUUGAAAAAUUAGCGGAUGACUUGUGGCUGGGGGUGAAAGGCCAAUCAAACCGGGAGAUAGCUGGUUCUCCCCGAAAGCUAUUUAGGUAGCGCCUCGUGAAUUCAUCUUCGGGGGUAGAGCACUGUUUCGGCUAGGGGGUCAUCCCGACUUACCAACCCGAUGCAAACUACGAAUACCGAAGAAUGUUAUCACGGGAGACACACGGCGGGUGCUAACGUCCGUCGUGAAGAGGGAAACAACCCAGACCGCCAGCUAAGGUCCCAAAGUCAUGGUUAAGUGGGAAACGAUGUGGGAAGGCACAGACAGCCAGGAUGUUGGCUUAGAAGCAGCCAUCAUUUAAAGAAAGCGUAAUAGCUCACUGGUCGAGUCGGCCUGCGCGGAAGAUGUAACGGGGCUAAACCAUGCACCGAAGCUGCGGCAGCGACACUAUGUGUUGUUGGGUAGGGGAGCGUUCUGUAAGCCUGCGAAGGUGUGCUGUGAGGCAUGCUGGAGGUAUCAGAAGUGCGAAUGCUGACAUAAGUAACGAUAAAGCGGGUGAAAAGCCCGCUCGCCGGAAGACCAAGGGUUCCUGUCCAACGUUAAUCGGGGCAGGGUGAGUCGACCCCUAAGGCGAGGCCGAAAGGCGUAGUCGAUGGGAAACAGGUUAAUAUUCCUGUACUUGGUGUUACUGCGAAGGGGGGACGGAGAAGGCUAUGUUAGCCGGGCGACGGUUGUCCCGGUUUAAGCAUGUAGGCUGGUUGUCCAGGCAAAUCCGGAUAAUCAAGGCUGAGGUGUGAUGACGAGGCACUACGGUGCUGAAGUAACAAAUGCCCUGCUUCCAGGAAAAGCCUCUAAGCAUCAGGUAACAUCAAAUCGUACCCCAAACCGACACAGGUGGUCAGGUAGAGAAUACCAAGGCGCUUGAGAGAACUCGGGUGAAGGAACUAGGCAAAAUGGUGCCGUAACUUCGGGAGAAGGCACGCUGGUGUGUAGGUGAAGUCCCUGCGGAUGGAGCUGAGACCAGUCGAAGAUACCAGCUGGCUGCAACUGUUUAUUAAAAACACAGCACUGUGCAAACACGAAAGUGGACGUAUACGGUGUGACGCCUGCCCGGUGCCGGAAGGUUAAUUGAUGGGGUUAUCCGUAAGGAGAAGCUCUUGAUCGAAGCCCCGGUAAACGGCGGCCGUAACUAUAACGGUCCUAAGGUAGCGAAAUUCCUUGUCGGGUAAGUUCCGACCUGCACGAAUGGCGUAAUGAUGGCCAGGCUGUCUCCACCCGAGACUCAGUGAAAUUGAACUCGCUGUGAAGAUGCAGUGUACCCGCGGCAAGACGGAAAGACCCCGUGAACCUUUACUAUAGCUUGACACUGAACAUUGAGCCUUGAUGUGUAGGAUAGGUGGGAGGCUUUGAAGCGUGGACGCCAGUCUGCGUGGAGCCAACCUUGAAAUACCACCCUUUAAUGUUUGAUGUUCUAACGUUGGCCCCUUACCGGGGUUGCGGACAGUGUCUGGUGGGUAGUUUGACUGGGGCGGUCUCCUCCCAAAGCGUAACGGAGGAGCACGAAGGUUAGCUAAUCCUGGUCGGACAUCAGGAGGUUAGUGCAAUGGCAUAAGCUAGCUUGACUGCGAGCGUGACGGCGCGAGCAGGUGCGAAAGCAGGUCAUAGUGAUCCGGUGGUUCUGAAUGGAAGGGCCAUCGCUCAACGGAUAAAAGGUACUCCGGGGAUAACAGGCUGAUACCGCCCAAGAGUUCAUAUCGACGGCGGUGUUUGGCACCUCGAUGUCGGCUCAUCACAUCCUGGGGCUGAAGUAGGUCCCAAGGGUAUGGCUGUUCGCCAUUUAAAGUGGUACGCGAGCUGGGUUUAGAACGUCGUGAGACAGUUCGGUCCCUAUCUGCCGUGGGCGCUGGAGAAUUGAGGGGGGCUGCUCCUAGUACGAGAGGACCGGAGUGGACGCAUCACUGGUGUUCGGGUUGUCAUGCCAAUGGCACUGCCCGGUAGCUAAAUGCGGAAGAGAUAAGUGCUGAAAGCAUCUAAGCACGAAACUUGCCCCGAGAUGAGUUCUCCCUGAGACUUUAAGUCUCCUGAAGGAACGUUAAAGACGAUGACGUUGAUAGGCCGGGUGUGUAAGCGCAGCGAUGCGUUGAGCUAACCGGUACUAAUGAACCGUGAGGCUUAACCUU